CAAGGCUGCAUAGGAAGGGACUUCAUGUCACGCCAGCGGUAUAUGCAGGAAUUGACGGGAACCAUUGAUCUGGUUUUGUGGAGAAAGUCGGGCCUGGACUUCAGCCCCUGCUCGUUGUGACGUAAAAGCGGACUUGCAGAAAGCAUUACUAGUGGCAAAGCGUUAGGUGAAAGCGUUACUGGUCUUCGUUCUCAUGGCUCUGUGGCUCCGAGGCGGCAUGUGACCCUCAGCUGAGUUGAUGGAUAAGGAUUGGUCCUUUGCUACGGCGGCGUCUACCGGCUUCCUUUCCCCUGCGUCUUCUCGUUUAAUAUUGCAUGCUCAGUAGUUCGUCCUGCCGAGUCAUGGACAGUGGAUCAAGGGGUCUUUCAUCCCUGCUUUGUGGGAAGUGUAGUGCUGACAUGAUUAACUGGGUUUCACGGGCUGUACUCACUGGCUCCCCCCGCAGGAGUUCUUCAUGUGCCACUAUCCACACAACUCUUUCCGAAGGAGAGCAGCUUGUGUUGCUAGGCGAUUUGCCUGCCGAAGGAACUGGGUCACAUGAUGCUUUUGUUGACAAGACUGUCCAGUAAACAACAUAAUUGAUCCAUUUUAUUGUGAAAAAGUUUGAACUAAGGCGAAACUUAGAUGUUUAAGUACAUUGUAAAAAUAUAAAACAUUGCUAGGAGUUGCAAAUCCUGAAUGAGAAUGAGGUACCCUCCGUAGGACGUGGGGCGCCCUACAUCGAAAUCUGGAGCGUAAUUUACUUCAUGCCAUUCUAACAUUGUAGGACAGCUUCAGGGGUGUUUAACCCUGAAAAGAACAGGUGCUCAGGGUCUACGUUACGAGUGACUCUGCUCAUGAAUGAAGGCUGAGCAGUCUGUGCUUUUUACUUUAACCCAUUCUUAUCUCUUUUCAUAUCUUUAGAACCACUUUACUGACAUGGAAAUAUUAAUAAUAUUAACUUAAAUAUGUAUUUUGCAAAAUAUGGUAAAAAUAAAUACAUUUAAAUUAUUGUAAGUGAGGAUCAGUUAUUUGUGAUUUGUGCCAUGUACUUCAGUGCCACAGCAAAGUUCUAAAACAUCUUCAGAGAAUUACUCCUGGGAGAAUUCCUCAAGAUUGUGUUUUUCUGUUUUUCAAAGCAUUUGCAGGGCUUUACUAAGCUCACUGUGCAAGUGAUCACUAGGAUCAUUUGUUACAGAUGAAAAUUCAAUUCUUAUUUUAGAAGAUAAUUGGAAAACAAAUUGAAAUGCACAUAAUUUAGUUAGAGGAAUUAAAAAAAUAGUUUUGUUUACUCAGUAAUUUUUUAUUAAUAAACUAUUAAAAUAGUUUAUAUUAGUUUAUUUAGAGAAUUCAGACAGAAAGCAUAGCAGAUUUUGCACAGGGGAAAAGUUACACAAUAAACCAUCACAUUUACAACAACCUGCUCCACACUGCAUUAUUUUUUUCCAAUGUAGGCGGCAGUGUUUGUUGAUCUCAAGAUAAUGUUAAUAUUGCCAAAACAACAUGAAACAAAUACAAAUGCAGAAAAGACUUUGCUGGUUUGGAAUAGAAACUAUUGUUAAAUUCUAGGCUUUUUCAUAAUGUAUUAUUAAAUCACAGGCUUUUUAACUCAUCAUUUAAAGACACCCCAAGCCUUUCAAAAUAGACAUGUUUCAUCUUUCCUGUUGUUAUUCUUAAUAAUAUAAAAAAUGUGCCUCUUUUUUCACUGUGUGGAGGCACUAAUUUUCUCUUUGUGUAGCAUCAGCUCAGCAAGCAGAUGCCUUUAUUUCCCAUCAUUUCCAAGAUUUUCAUUUUUCUUAUCCUUUGAUUUAAUUUUUUUUCUACAUAUUUCACCACUCAUUUAAGAUGGUUUAAUAUGGAGCUCUGGAAAGGUCAAGCAUUUUUAAAGUAACUGUGCUGAUUUAUCUUCAUUUAUUUAUGCAUUUAGUUCUUGUUUGCUGCACAGAUAGCUUUCAAAGGCAUAAUUAUUAUACCACUAAUGUAUUCAUGCCUGGGCCUUUGUUGCGUUGUCCUUUGAGUGGGACAGCAAAUAGUACAGCCAUCUGUAAAGGGCAGUGGCGAGUAAUUAUAGUCUCACUGUUCGGCGCUUGACAAUGGGCCCUUGGAUAGCUCUGUCUGGGGCUGCUUUUCCAGGAGCGAAACUCCUGUGAAGUCCAUGCAGAUGAAUAAAAUAUACAUAAUGGGAAGUUGGCAGUGUGCACCUGAACUGGAAUCUGUUGCUCAUCAAUAUUGAAUGAUUGUAUACCCUUGUUCCCUUUACUGCUAAUUUUUUCAUAAUUCCUGGGAAAUCGCUGGAAUCAAACAAAAGCUCUUUUUCCAGUCUGGGCAGCUGUGAGUUUGGGCCUGGGUUGUCAAGGCUUCAGUUCAACAGGAUAGUUCAGCCAAGGGCCUGUGACGUUCCAGGAGUGACAGGGGUUACUGUGCGCCUGGGAGAGCCCUGACUUGACCCGUAUACUGACUUGACCCGUCCACUCUCGGCGACGCUCAGCCAACACAAUCACAGAGCUCAGCCCACCUUCAGUGGUUGUGCA
ensembl:lincRNA